CUUGGCCAGGGAUAUCCACCAACUCCUGAAGUUUGCAAUGCAAUGCUGAGCUUCUUGGGUGGAAGAAAGUCAUUACCACAUGGAGCUCACCUCCUGCCUGCCAGACAUCCUGUCCCAGCCCAGAGAAUACAGCUAAGUCACUAUUACCCAGACUCAACCAACUAGAUACAGUACUCCUGCCCC
rnacentral:lncRNA from 1 species